GACGAACGCUGGCGGCGUGCUUAACACAUGCAAGUCGAGCGGUAAGGCCCUUUCGGGGGUACACGAGCGGCGAACGGGUGAGUAACACGUGGGUGACCUGCCCUCAGCUCUGGGAUAAGCCUGGGAAACUGGGUCUAAUACUGGAUAUGACUCCACGGUGCAUGUCGUGGGGUGGAAAGCCUUGUGCGGCUGAGGAUGGGCCCGCGGCCUAUCAGCUUGUUGGUGGGGUGANGGCCUACCAAGGCGACGACGGGUAGCCGGCCUGAGAGGGCGACCGGCCACACUGGGACUGAGACACGGCCCAGACUCCUACGGGAGGCAGCAGUGGGGAAUCCUGCGCAAUGGGCGAAAAGCCUGACGCAGCGACGCCGCGUGAGGGAUGAC
rnacentral:rRNA from 1 species